CGGCGCACGGGUGAGUAACACGUGGAUGAUCUGCCUCCGAGUGGGGAAUAACUCUGGGAAACCGGAGCUAAGACCGCAUACGCCUGCAAAGGGAAAGCGCGCAAGCGCGCUCGGAGAGGAGUCCGCGGCCGAUUAGCUAGUUGGUGAGGUAACGGCUUACCAAGGCUACGAUCUGUAUCCGACCUGAGAGGGUGGUCGGACACACUGACACUGAAUAACGGGUCAG
rnacentral:rRNA from 1 species